rnacentral:rRNA from 1 species
GGCNGCUUUAACAUGCAAGUCGAACGGCAGCGCGGGGCAACCUGGCGGCGAGUGGCGAACGGGUGAGUAAUAUAUCGGAACGUACCCAAGAGUGGGGGAUAACGUAGCGAAAGUUACGCUAAUACCGCAUACGAUCCAAGGAUGAAAGCAGGGGAUCUUCGGACCUUGUGCUCCUGGAGCGGCCGAUAUCUGAUUAGCUAGUUGGUGAGGUAAAGGCUCACCAAGGCCACGAUCAGUAGCUGGUCUGAGAGGACGACCAGCCACACUGGAACUGAGACACGGUCCAGACUCCUACGGGAGGCAGCAGUGGGGAAUUUUGGACAAUGGGCGAAAGCCUGAUCCAGCAAUGCCGCGUGAGUGAAGAAGGCCUUCGGGUUGUAAAGCUCUUUUGUCAGGGAAGAAACGGUGAGGGCUAAUAUCCUUCGCUAAUGACGGUACCUGAAGAAUAAGCACCGGCUAACUACGUGCCAGCAGCCGCGGUAAUACGUAGGGUGCAAGCGUUAAUCGGAAUUACUGGGCGUAAAGCGUGCGCAGGCGGUUUUGUAAGUCUGACGUGAAAUCCCCGGGCUCAACCUGGGAAUUGCGUUGGAGACUGCAAGGCUAGAAUCUGGCAGAGGGGGGUAGAAUUCCACGUGUAGCAGUGAAAUGCGUAGAGAUGUGGAGGAACACCGAUGGCGAAGGCAGCCCCCUGGGUCAAGAUUGACGCUCAUGCACGAAAGCGUGGGGAGCAAACAGGAUUAGAUACCCUGGUAGUCCACGCCCUAAACGAUGUCUACUAGUUGUCGGGUUUUAAUUAACUUGGUAACGCAGCUAACGCGUGAAGUAGACCGCCUGGGGAGUACGGUCGCAAGAUUAAAACUCAAAGGAAUUGACGGGGACCCGCACAAGCGGUGGAUGAUGUGGAUUAAUUCGAUGCAACGCGAAAACCUUACCUACCCU